UACGUAGGGUGCAAGCGUUGUCCGGAAUUAUUGGGCGUAAAGAGCUCGUAGGCGGUCUGUCGCGUCGGCUGUGAAAACCCGGAGCUCAACUCCGGGCCUGCAGUCGAUACGGGCAGACUGGAGUUCGGCAGGGGAGACUGGAAUUCCUGGUGUAGCGGUGAAAUGCGCAGAUAUCAGGAGGAACACCGGUGGCGAAGGCGGGUCUCUGGGCCGAUACUGACGCUGAUGCGCGAAAGCGUGGGGAGCGAUCCGG
rnacentral:rRNA from 1 species